AGUGAACGCUGGCGGCAGGCCUAACACAUGCAAGUCGAACGGCAGCACAGUAAGAUUUUGCUCUUACGGGUGGCGAGUGGCGGACGGGUGAGGAAUACAUCGGAAUCUACUUUUUCGUGGGGGAUAACGUAGGGAAACUUACGCUAAUACCGCAUACGACCUACGGGUGAAAGCAGGGGAUCUUCGCACCUUGCGCGAUUGAAUGAGCCGAUGUCGGACUAGCUAGUUGGCGGGGUAAAGGCCCACCAAGGCGACGAUCCGUAGCUGGUCUGAGAGGAUGAUCGGCCACACUGGAACUGAGACACGGUCCAGACUCCUACGGGAGGCAGCAGUGGGGAAUAUUGGGCAAUGGGCGCAAGCCUGAUCCAGCCAUACCGCGUGGGUGAAGAAGGCCUUCGGGUUGUAAAGCCCUUUUGUUGGGAAAGAAAAGCAGCAGGUUGAUACCCCGCUGUUCUGACGGUACCCAAAGAAUAAGCACCGGCUAACUUCGUG
rnacentral:rRNA from 1 species